CACGGAUCUUCAGGCUUAGCUGAAACGGCUCCAUGCUCCGGGGCGCCAGUGAUGAUGGAGCCGAGCCACGGAAGAGUGGGAUCAUUGUCCAGUUCUGGAGUGGAGCAGUCAGGGGAGUGAGAAGGGAUGGUCGCCGGAGCUGAGGACUACAAGGUGUUUUUCCUGGGCUGAGGCGACAGUGGUGAACUCCAGGAUGAGCUUGUUUUUUUCUCUGAGCUUAGCUUCCAGACAAGUGAUUCUUUUCUUCAGCUUUGAGACGUACCAGAGAGACGCUGAGGAGAAUCAACCUGCAACGAAAACGACACACUCACAGCCUACCCUGCCAGCUGUAUUUGAAGAAAGUAUGAUGCAAACUCAAAUGGUGCUAAGAAACUGAACAGGGCUGUAGCAGAUCUAUAUGCAUGGAUCAUAUUUGAUCAGAAGGUUGUCUGUUCAAACCCCCGGACCGGCAAGAUAAAUCUGGGUGGGGAAAACUGAAAAAGCAGUGCUUGCUCCUCCCCUACCUCACCACUUAGGUGCCCUUGAGCAAGGCCCUUAACCCCAACCACUCCAGUGAUAACAGGUAUGUCCUUCCUUCACAUAAUUAUUUAAUGUACACUGAAGUCCCUACCAUAUACAAUGAAACAAAAGACAAUCUUGGGGGGAAACCCUUCUUUUCAUGCACCGCUGACCUAUUGAUCAGCAGGGCCACAUCCACAUUCAUGGCAGUAAUCCUGGGACAUGCAGAGCUGGUGUUUGGGCUGCGUUGGGCUGGACAGGACAGUUUGAGGGAGACGUUGGAGGAGAUAGUACACGAAGCUGGACAUGUCAAAUAUGGCUGGUAUCACCACUGAUAAUGCCUCAGCAAGCAAGAAAGCUUUUCAGCAGGACUUCACACGGGUCCCCUGCUUUGGGCACAACCUGCACCUAGUCAUUAACAAGGGCCUGAAUGGAGUACUGUCGAGGUUGAGAAAGACAGUAUCUGCUUUUAGCAGGUCACCAAAGACGUUCCAACUGCUGAAGAAGAAACAAAGAGAUUUACAACUGCCCAAACACAGACUGAUCCAUGAUGAGUCCACAUGUUGGGGUAUGAAAUGGUGGAGGGACAGCAGCAAGCAGUGCUGUUUAAGUCUGUUCAGUUCUAGACGAUGAUCGGAAGAAAUGGCACCUCGUGCCUAAAGAUUCAGACAUCACAGUUCUUGGGGCUGUAAAAGAGGUAUCGAGCCCUGUCAGCUCUUUCACGGAUGCCCUUAGUGGUGAAAAACCCACCGCUCUCUCCUCUGGCCUACCCGUAAGUUGGAAAAUAUUUUCUACUUUGACAGUUGAGGAAAGUGACAGCAACCUAAAAUGUCAACUUUAAUCAAAUAUUUGAGGAGAUCUCAGACAAAGAUAUGAGGACAGGCAUCUGGAGCUGAUACUGAGCACAGCCGUUUCUUGGCCCAUAAGAUCUUAUGGACAAUGUCCAUUUACCGGAAAUAGGAAGCCAAAGUCAGCAAACACCCUCUCCAGGUGCCAAGCAACCCGCAAAGAAAACAAACAGAUCUGAAGGGACUGUUAACAAGCAUACGGGGGGGGUUGAACAUGGAGAGGAUGCAUCAUCCAGAGAAGAUGACGCAGAACUCAAAAAUGAGUUCACAAUAUACAAUAUAUGAAAAGAUGCCUGAACUCAGUGCAGAAGAGGACCCACUCACAUGGUGGAGGACAAAUGAGCUCAGCUUCAGAACAUGUAUUUAAUACGUCAGGGCUCAUUUGCAGUCCAGGAAGGGCCUGACUUACAGAGGAGCACAUCGACAUGCUGGUGUUCCUAGCAAAAAAUCUGAAAGAAACUACAGUAAUGGGUGUCACUCUCACUCACCUCUGUAGAGCAUGUCUGCAUAUAUAAGAAUAGUUAUUACUAACAUUUGAUGUUUUUUUUGUUUUUUUUACUCAUUUGUUACUUGAUGUUACGGGGAGCCCUGCAUGUGCAGUUUGCCUGUCGUCUCUGUCUGCCUCUCUCUCCAUCUCUCCUCUCUGGCUGGCUUUUUGGGAGUGGAGCACCUGAGAGGAGUUACUGAUCAAGGAGAGGUGAAAAGGAGGGGGGGAGCAGGGUGUGGGGACUCACACACACUUGCUGGCUGACAGCAGAGAAUACAACCCUCCAGGGACCAUUCUCCAGUUGUUUUUCCCCAGCAUGUUUUAGUGUGAGUGUUGUUAUUUUAGUUUUGGGAUCUUAUCUUAGUCUGGAGAUCACUGGUAGUCCAGUUAUCGGUUUUGGUUUAAUUCAGUUUCAGGUGUUUUUUUGUAUUUCUUUCUUUAGGUAGUCUAGGGGUAGAUCAGCUGGGUACGACAGCCCACUGCAUGGCUGGCUCAGUGAUUUUACUCACCUUUUGUUCUUUUUGGCUGGGAUCUCCAACCCCUUUUGUUUUCUUCCUUUGACCUUUGAGUAUGGUUAUUUUUCUUUAAAAAUAAAGCUUGUGGGUUUUUCUCUCAUGGAACUGGUCUUGGCGUCCUUCGUAUGUUUCGUUCUCCAGUCGAGCUUCUGGUAUUCAUAAGAUUGCACUGCUUUUCUUUUAUUUGCACUUUAGUGCCUUUUAAAUGUGUAUCGAUCUCAGAGUCUUGAACAUGUGCACUACCUCAAGAAGAAUAUUGUUUUUAAAUAUUGUUAAUGUUUGUCAUUCUGCUGUUCUCUGCUACUAGCCAAGAAUAGCCGUACCUUGUUGUCAUGUUGUAGUCUUGUUAUAUUUAUCUUUUAAUAAAAAUCUCAAAUUUUA